UACGUAGGGGGCUAGCGUUGUCCGGAAUCAUUGGGCGUAAAGAGCGUGUAGGCGGCUCGGUAAGUCCGCUGUGAAAGUCAGGGGGCUCAACCCUCGGAAUGCCGGUGGAUACUGUCGGAGCUAGAGUCGGCAGGAGGGGAGAUCGUGGAAUUCCUGGUGUAGCGGUGAAAUGCGCAGAUAUCAGGAGGAACACCAGUGGCGAAGGCG
rnacentral:rRNA from 1 species